rnacentral:lncRNA from 1 species
ACGAAGUACCUGGCCCUGGAGUGGUGAAUGAGCGUGGAGAUGCUGCUGCCGGAAGUAGGGUAAAUGGGAAGCUGGCAUUCGGACCUGCGCUUGGGGAGUGGGCUGGGUGCUGGCUUUGAUUCUGGCUUGCCUGGAGAUCAGUCUCCCGCCCUGAGUUUAAAUCCUCUUAUCAAAGUGAAGCCUUCCCUUCCCAUGGAAUGUUUUGUGUAAAUCUGACUUCCACACCCUGAGCAGACUGGGUAUGUCAUAG